rnacentral:lncRNA from 1 species
GAGUGAGUUCUCAUGAGAUUUGGUUGUUUUAAAGUGUUUGGCACCUCCCCCUCACCCUCUCUUCCUCCUGUUCCAGCCAUGUGAGAUGCCUUUCUCCCUCUUUGCCUUCUGCUGUGAUUGUAGGUUUCCUGAGGCCUCCCCAGAAGCACAUGCUGCUAUGUUUCCCGUAUAGCUUGUGGAACGGUGAGCCAAUUAAACCCCUUUUCCUUACGAAUUACCCAGUUUCAUGUCUUUCUUUAUAGAAAUGUGAGAAUGAACUAAUACAAUAUUUAAAAUAUAAAUACAUAUGUAUGUGUAUAUACAUGCACACACAUAUAUUACUUGAUAAAUA